GCAUAAUCAUGAGAAUUGACAAUAAUUUUUAGUUUCAGAAUUCAAAAGUAGAGGGCGCCAUUAUUAUCAAUGAACGAAAAAAUCAACAACGAUGAAAAGAACGAUGAUGGGUGAGGGUGAUUCAAAUUGUGAUGGAGAGGAAUGAAUCAUGAAUUUCAUGAAUUUUCAGGAAUAUGGCGAAUAUGCUGAUGGCGAAGAAUUUAUUAGUUAGUUAGUGCUGUAAUUUGUGAUUAUUACUAGAAAUUUAGUCUAAAAGAGCUUGCGAAAGUGCAACUAUAGUAAUCUGCCUGGUCACUCGAGUCCGGUAAAUGGUUUCAAGAUUUACAUUAUUGUUCGAGAAGUGAUUGCGAUGAAGAUUAUUGGAAUCCAUUGAUGAAUUGUCAAACUGUUGAUCCAGUCAAAACUUCCCACUUUCGUUCGUGCUCUUCCGGUGUCUUCGUUGGAAUAAAUACUCAUUCUGUAAAAACACAUCAAAAAUAAUACGAUUAGUGAAUCAAAUCUUCGAAAGAACUCAACGAAUAUGAUCUCAUCCUACAGUAGAGAUUAAUACUGCAGCGAACAAAGAUCUCGAAGACGUUAUAUUAUUUCAUGCCCAGAUUCCAAACACCGGUGAAUCUAGCUUCGUAAUCCUGUACUAAAUAAUACUGGAUCAUCGAACGAGAUAAAAACAUCGCGUUAUCUUUUAUACGCUAUUUAGACGAAUAAAGGAUCGCAUCAUCCGAAAUGGACCACGUAAUAUGGUCAGCGAUGAAUCUACAAUUAGUAAUUCAAAUCCGGUGUCGUAUUGUUCGAGCUUCUAAUUGUAUUACGUUGACCACCGAGAGAAAAACAACUGGUAAAUUUGUAUUCUAGUUUGAAGCACCCGUCCGAGAAAAAAAACACAAAACUAGACCGGUAUACUCGCGAGUCUUUUGUUACUCGUAAAUAAAUCAAACUGGUUUAGCGUUUGCACCAACGUGUCGUGUACGUACAAAUAGCUAUGUUACGAAAUUCGAGCACAGAGAUAUGGACCAUGGAUGUUGGAUUUUUAUUAUUCAAAAAUCUACCAUAUGUUUACAGCAGAGUGCGGAAAACAACCGAAUAGAUAUUAGAAGCAAGGAACAGGGACAGGACAAUGCACCGGAGUUGUUAUAGUAAUUUCCAACAGAUUCGUUAGAAUUGGACACGAUGGAGAUGGCGGUAAUUAGAAUAACAAGUUACUAUACGCCUUUGCAACAAUUUAUUGGAGCGGAUCUGAAAUAAAAAUUUACUCGAUUCGAAUCUUAUACUCGAGUAGAAAUAUGGGAUUUUUUUUUGUCGACGGUGGAAUUCGUAAAAAUGGAAGAGAAAUUCGACCGAAGAUUAUUUAGCAACUCGAUGAUUAUUGAUGCUGUGCGAAUGAAAUUGAAGAUCCUGUGUCCCAUUGAAUGCAAGAUGUAUCCAGAUUCGUGAAAAAAGGUAAUUUGCGAGCUUAAAUUGCCGGAAGUAAUCUUACAAAUCUCGAUGAAUAUGAAGCCAGUUCCAUUGAAAAUGGCGAAAAAUACUCCCCGAAUUGAGAUGUUCAAAUGUGUUUUCAACGUCAAGUAUUCCAGAUUUUGUACUAAUUUCGACGAUUGCAACGACAUCUGUUGUUUAAUAUAUCUUCGUGUGAACGAGAAAACAUCAUCGCCGGAUAACAAAUGGAGAAUAA